UACAGUCUGGUGGAAGUGAUGGCGUGGCAUCUUUGGCAUGGUGGCAUGGCGUGGCGUCUCUUCUUCUGUUGGACUCGGACUUGGACGCAAAUACUGCGAUGUGACAAGCUUGAUCGAGGAAGGCAUUAUAGACAACACAUGAAGAUGGAAAGAGAAUGAGAGGAUUCUAAAAUUGGUACGGAAAUUUCCCUCCAUUUUACUACAUUUGCGGCUCGUUAGUACAGCAGUUUGAUAACGUCGAACCGUUGGCCUGUAUAUCUCGCUCUUAUCAGUAAUCACCAUAUUAUAUAAUAAUGAUAAUCGUCAACCACGAGAACAGGCGAUUGUUGAAGCCAAGGUAUAUCUGGAUGAAAAUAAUCUUCGAAACUGCAUGGAUGAAUUCUCUCUGUUCGAUGGCUCCUGUUCUACUGCGUGAUUUACUGCUUGCAAUACUUUCUGCAUAUUUUGCAUUUAUCAAGUCCAAAUUUUAUUUUAACAUCACACAAAAAACCUAUGUAAUUGUUUCAACUAUGAAAGGUGAGUAUCAACAUGUGCUGUAAUAUGCUAUCAUUUACUGACUAAAACUAAAGUUCGAUGUCUUUGAAACAGUUGCAGCACACUUAUAAUAAAAUAAGCCUGUUGAAGAAGGCCAGUUUAGAAAAUACUGAAUUAUCCAUAAAGUUAAUGUUAAAACACAUUAUUCUCUUUCUCUCUCUCUCUUACAAAGAGUAAUAUUGAAUGUUGAAGACAUAAACUAAGCAACACAGUUAAGCAGUUGGUGUUCCUGAUUUAACGAGACUUUCUUUCAUUGGUGAGUGCCAACGUGUGCGCCUGUAGAUGUGUGCGUACACGUUGGCACUCAUAUGCGAAAGGAAGAUCUGCUGGGACCGAAACAAUUACAAAUAAUAGGAUAUUAAACAAUGAAACAAGACACGGUAUUUUUAAGAUAUGAUGCUUUAAUUAUAAAAUAGAAAUUAAGAAUGAUGUUAAUAAGAAUGAAUGUUCAUGUAAUUUUUGUAAAUAUUAAGUAAUUCCACCAAAAACGAUUUCAAAUCUCUAUGUAAAGUAAUCCUACAGAUAAUAGAUUGCAACAAGUUUUAGAAAAAAAAAUUCCAUCAAAGAGGUAUCUUCGCUUAUAAAGAUUUCCGCAAUUUUAGUUGAUUCGUCGUUUAAUGAAGAAUUUUUGUAAAAAUUCUGCAAUACCGAAUACAUUAAGAUAUUGCAUUAUAAAUAUUUAAAGCUUGUGUUACCUUUUUUUAGCC